AUUGAACGCUGGCGGCAUGCCUUACAUAUGCAAGUCGAACGGUAACAGGUCUUCGGAUGCUGACGAGUGGCGAACGGGUGAGUAAUACAUCGGAACGUGCCUAGUAGUGGGGGAUAACUACUCGAAAGAGUGGCUAAUACCGCAUGAGAUCUACGGAUGAAAGCAGGGGAUCGCAAGACCUUGUGCUACUAGAGCGGCCGAUGGCAGAUUAGGUAGUUGGUGGGAUAAAAGCUUACCAAGCCGACGAUCUGUAGCUGGGCUGAGAGGACGAUCAGCGAAGAUGGGACUGGGACCCGGCCCAUAAUCCUGCGGGGGGCAGAAGUGGGGAAUUUUGGACGAUGGGCGAAAGCCUUGUCCAGCAAUGGUGCGUGCAGGAUGAAGGCCUUGGGGUUGUAAACUGCUUUUGUACGGAACGAAAAGCCCCGGGUUAAUACCCUGGGGUCAUGACGGUACCGUAAGAAUAAGCACCGGCUAACUACGUGCCAGCCGCCGCAGUAA
rnacentral:rRNA from 1 species